rnacentral:tRNA from 1 species
CAGGCAAUAUCUCAGUGGUAGAGCUCCGGCUUCAUAUGCGGGAGGACCUGGGUUCGAUUCCUGGUUGCUUAU